UACGUAGGGGGCUAGCGUUGUCCGGAUUUAUUGGGCGUAAAGAGCGUGUAGGCGGCCAGGUAGGUCUGGUGUGAAAACUCGAGGCUUAACCUCGAGAUAUCAUCGGAAACCAUUUGGCUAGAGUCCGGAAGAGGAGAGUGGAAUUCCUGGUGUAGCGGUGAAAUGCGCAGAUAUCAGGAAGAACACCAAUGGCGAAAGCAGCUCUCUGGGACGGUACUGACGCUGAGACGCGAAAGCGUGGGGAGCGAACAGG
rnacentral:rRNA from 1 species